rnacentral:rRNA from 1 species
GAUGAACGCUGGCGGCGUGCUUAACACAUGCAAGUCGAACGGUGAACACGGAGCUUGCUCUGUGGGAUCAGUGGCGAACGGGUGAGUAACACGUGAGCAACCUGCCCCUGACUCUGGGAUAAGCGCUGGAAACGGCGUCUAAUACUGGAUAUGUGACGUGACCGCAUGGUCUGCGUUUGGAAAGAUUUUUCGGUUGGGGAUGGUCUCGCGGCCUAUCAGCUUGUUGGUGAGGUAAUGGCUCACCAAGGCGUCGACGGGUAGCCGGCCUGAGAGGGUGACCGGCCACACUGGGAUUGAGACACGGCCCAGACUCCUACGGGAGGCAGCAGUGGGGAAUAUUGCACAAUGGGCGAAAGCCUGAUGCAGCAACGCCGCGUGAGGGAUGACGGCCUUCGGGUUGUAAACCUUUUUUAGCAGGGAAGAAGCGAAAGUGACGGUACCUGCAGAAAAAGCGCCGGCUAACUACGUG